GUGGGGAAUCUUGCGCAAUGGACGAAAGUCUGACGCAGCAACGCCGCGUGAGUGAUGAAGGUCCUCGGAUCGUAAAGCUCUGUCGGCAGGAACAAUGGCUCGGGAAGUAAAUACCUUCUCGAGUUGAUGGUACCUGCAAAGGAAGCACCGGCUAACUCUGUGCCAGCAGCCGCGGUAAUACAGAGGGUGCAAGCGUUGUUCGGAAUUAUUGGGCGUAAAGGGCGCGUAGGCGGCCUAUUAAGUCGGAUGUGAAAGCCCAGGGCUCAACCUUGGAAGUGCAUACGAAACUGGUAGGCUAGAGUGCUGCAGAGGAUGGUGGAAUUCCCAGUGUAGAGGUGAAAUUCGUAGAUAUUGGGAGGAACACCGGUGGCGAAGGCGACCAUCUGGACAGUAACUGACGCUGAGGCGCGAGAGCGUGGGUAGCAAACAGG
rnacentral:rRNA from 1 species